UCGGCGAUGGUGCAGCUGGUAAGCAUAUUGCCCUAUUGCGGCAAAGGCGGACGUUCGACUCGUCCUCGUCGGC